UACGUAGGGGGCUAGCGUUGUCCGGAAUCAUUGGGCGUAAAGCGCGUGUAGGCGGUCCGGUAAGUCCGCUGUGAAAGUCGAGGGCUCAACCCUCGAAUGCCGGUGGAUACUGUCGGGCUUGAGUACGGGAGAGGCGAGUGGAAUUCCUGGUGUAGCGGUGAAAUGCGCAGAUAUCAGGAGGAACACCGAUUGCGAAGGCAGCUCGCUGGAACGUUACUGACGCUGAGACGCGAAAGCGUGGGGAUCAAACAGG
rnacentral:rRNA from 1 species